rnacentral:rRNA from 1 species
CACCCGCAGCUCGAGUAGUGGUCACUUUUAUUGAGCCUAAAGCGUUUGUAGCCGGUUUUGCAAAUCUUCAGAUAAAUUCCUCUGCUUAACAGAUGAUCUUCUGAAGAGACUGCGAGACUUGGGACCGGGUGAGGUUGAAGGUACUUCCGGGGUAGGGGUAAAAUCCUGUAAUCCUGGAAGGACGACCGGUGGCGAAGGCGUUCAACUAGAACGGAUCCGACGGUGAGGAACGAGGGCUAGGGUAGCAAACCGGAUUAGAUACCCGGGUAGUCCUAGCUGUAAACACUGCCCACUUGGUGUUGCCCCUCCGAUGAGGGGAGGCAGUGCCGGAGCGAAGGUGUUAAGUGGGCCGCUUGGGGAGUAUGGUCGCAAGGCUGAAACUUAAAGGAAUUGGCGGGGGAGCACCGCAACGGGAGGAGCGUGCGGUUUAAUUGGAUUCAACGCCGGAAAACUCACCGGGAGCGACCUUUGGAUGAGAGUCAGCCUGAUGAGCUUACUCGAUAGAAGGAGAGGUGGUGCAUGGCCGUCGUCAGCUCGUACCGUAGGGCGUUCACUUAAGUGUGAUAACGAGCGAGACCCCCAUCUCUAAUUGCUAACGUGCAUUCGCGUGCACGCGCACUUUAGAGGGACCGCCAGUGCUAAACUGGAGGAAGGAGGGGUCGACGGCAGGUCAGUACGCCCCGAAUCUCCCGGGCAACACGCGCGCUACAAAGGGCAGGACAAUGAGUUGCCACCUCGAAAGGGGGAGCUAAUCUCGAAACCUGUUCGUAGUUAGGAUUGAGGGCUGUAACUCGCCCUCAUGAAUGUGGAUUCCGUAGUAAUCGCGGGUCAACAGCCCGCGGUGAAUAUGCCCCUGCUCCU